rnacentral:lncRNA from 10 species
CACAGCAAUACUGAACAACGCCACCUCAGUGGGUCUGACAGAAGACAGAAGAAUUAAAGUUUAAUUGUGCAUUUCCAAGAACAUGUCAAUGCUAUAAAGGACUUACUAUACUUUCAGGAUGCCAUCCAGAGAGUGUGCCCAGCAGAGCGUGUGGAUGAAGUUAGAAGAAAGAAUGGUGCUCAGGAAGGCCAAGAAAAAUCUUCAAAUUCUACUGCUGGUUCAUGUAGCUCCUAUAAUUUCCCAACCUUUUGUAUUUGCCAUUAUUCUUUAAGAAGCGUAAGUGAGACCAUUUUUUUUUCUGAGAACACCUGCACUUAAUAACCAAACUGCCUUAUUAAGUGGGAUGUGUAGCCUUGGAGAAGGUGAAAGCAAAAGAGUCAGAUAAUUGGUUCAUUGUUGAGAAACUUUUCCAUAAAUGCAAAUAGCCAGGAAACCUAAACACACAGUAAUGAUUUUUCUCAAAGUAAAAAUGCAACAGUGUAAAGCACUAACUGUGGUAUGACCAGAGUUAGCUUAUCAGAAACCUGAAAAAGUCAAAAUGCAACAGUGGUAAAGCAGCACCACAAAUAACUUCAACAUAGAAGUGAGUCUGAUAUAGUAGUUAACCCAGUUGGGUGAGCAGGGGACCACAAUCUAUAUAAUGUGGUCUCCCCUAUCAAAGGAUAAACAGGUCCCUCAAUUUUCUUUUUUAGUUUGCUUUCUGUUGCUUAUAACAGAAUGCCUGAAACUAGGUAAUUUCUUAAGAAAAGAAGCUUAUUUCUUACAGUUAUAGAGGCUGAGAAGUUUGAGGUCAAGAGGCCAAAUCUGGUAAGGGCCUUUUUGCUGAUGGGUACUCUGCUGAGUCCCUGCAGUACAGGUAUUCACAUGAUGAGAGGCUUGGACAUUCUGGUUCAGAUCUUUUCUUCCCGUUCUUAUACAGCCAUCAGUCCUACUCCCAUGAUAACCUAUUAAUCCAUUAACUCAUUAUUUCAUUAUUCUAUGAAUGGAUUAACCCAGUCAUGAGGGCUGAGCCCUCAUCAAUCACCUCUUAAUGGCCCCGCCACCUUGAUUACUAAAUUUCUACAUGAGUAUUGGAGGUAACAAAUAUUCAAAUUACAUCAUCCUACCCUGGGCCACCUAAAACUCAUAUCCUUCUCUCAUACAAAUGCAUUUAUUCCAAACCCAUAGCCCUAAAGUCUCAACUUGUUUCAUCACCAACUCAAAAGCCCACAGUCCAGAGUCUCAUCUGUGAGCCUGUGAAAUCAAAACAUCUUAUUUACCUCCAAGGUACAAUGGUUGUACAGGCAUAAGGUAGACAUCCCUAUUCCAAAAGAAAGAAAAGGCAAAAAGAAAGGUAAUAGGCCCCAAGCAAGUCCAAAACACUGUAGGACACAUAUUAAAUCUUAAAGCUGGAGAAUAAUAUAUUUGACACUGUGUACCACCUCCUGGAUAUACUGGGGUGGGGGUUAGGCUCCCAAGGACUCAGGCAGCCCCACCCCUAUGACUUUGCUGGGUGAAGUGUAUAUGUCUACUCACAAGUGUUGAAGUCCAGUGCCUGAAGUUUUCCUAGGCAAGUCUGGCAUGCUGCCAGUGAUUCCACAGUUUCGUGGUUCCAGUGGCAGUCCCAUUCCCAGGGCUCGUAGGCUUUGCCUUAGUAGGGACUCACUGUCGUGACCUCAAAUAAUAAAAGUUGUACCCUGAAGGAAAAAAAAAUUCUGUUGUUUGGACCAUGCAUCAAUCAUUUUUCAUUCCAUUUGCCACAUUACAGGUAGUCUCAUUCAAAUGCAAAAGAGGCUGUCCUAUAAGCGUAAAAUGAAAACCUAAAGGUAAUUGCAUAGCUUCAAAAUGAGCAAAAAAAUAACCCACAGACUAAGUACCCACUGUCAUCUCCCAAAGAUCAUUUCUCCAGUUAUUGACUGGUUUAAAAUCACACUAUUAUAAAUAUGAACACGUAAGGAAGGCAAAUUAUUGUGGUCACAUACAGGUAGAAGAACAAAGGAUGAAGAACAAAGAAAGAAACAAUAUUCAUAGAUAAAAUAUAGAGAGAUGACGAUGACUUAUUUACAUAGUAGCAAGUGUUUGUUUUAAAUAUAUAUAUACUCACACACAUAUAAACAUAUAUAUAUACACACAUGAAUAUAACUUGAUGAUUUUAUUUCUGAAAAUGUGGAUACAUAGUAAAUAAUUGGAAAAAAAAUUAAAACAGAUUUAAUUUUCCCAGCCAUCCUGAUUUUUUCUUUUAUUGAAUGCAAUGGAGAGUAACAUGAAUACUUUCAGAAUGAGAUAAAUAUAGGUAAUGCAUUUAAUAACAUGUACUAUCUUAAACAUCAACUGUUAUAAAAAUUAACUGGACUCCAUAGAAAAUAAGCUUUGUUACUAAUACAAAUGUGUUCUAUGAUCUCUUUAUUAAAAACUUUCCA